AUUAGCAUAAGGUAUGGCAUGUUGUAAAAAUGGUUUUCCCAAGGAGAGGCUCAUCCAUUGCACUUUGGGUGUGCUGUUGACCCCUGCGAUUUCCCCAAAUGUGGGGAACUCAGCUACAUAAUUUGUGUUAAUGGGGGCAUUAUGUUUGUGAUUUCUCUG
ensembl:snRNA U1 U1 spliceosomal RNA